ACGGCUCAGUAACACGUGGAUAACCUACCCUCAGGAGGGGGAUAACCCCGGGAAACUGGGGAUAAUACCCCAUAGAUCAGGGACGCUGGAAUGCCCCCUGAUUCAAAGGUCCGCCGCCUGAGGAUGGGUCUGCGGCCGAUUAGGUUGUUGUUGGGGUAACGGCCCAACAAGCCAUUGAUCGGUACGGGUUGUGAGAGCAAGAGCCCGGAGAUGGAUUCUGAGACACGAAUCCAGGCCCUACGGGGCGCAGCAGGCGCGAAAACUUUACAAUGCGAGAAAUCGUGAUAAGGGAACCCCGAGUGCCCGUAAAUUCGGGCUGUCCGCCAGUGUAAAUAACUGGUGAAGAAAGGGCCGGGCAAGACCGGUGCCAGCCGCCGCGGUAAUACCGGCGGCUCGAGUGGUGGCCACUAUUACUGGGCUUAAAGCGUCCGUAGCUGGAUUGUUAAGUCUCUUGGGAAAUCCACCGGCUCAACCGAUGGGCGUUCAGGAGAAACUGGCAAUCUAGGGACCGGGAGAGGUGAGAGGUACUCCAGGGGUAGGAGUGAAAUCCUGUAAUCCUUGGGGGACCACCUGUGGCGAAGGCGUCUCACUAGAACGGCUCCGACAGUGAGGGACGAAAGCUGGGGGAGCAAACCGGAUUAGAUACCCGGGUAGUCCCAGCUGUAAACGAUGCGCGUUAGGUGUAUCGGUGACCACGAGUCAUCGAGGUGCCGAAGGGAAACCGUGAAACGUGCCGCCUGGGAAGUACGGUCGCAAGGCUGAAGCUUAAAGGAAUUGGCGGGGGAGCAC
rnacentral:rRNA from 1 species